AUUGAACGCUGGCGGCAGGCCUAACACAUGCAAGUCGAACGAGUGGCGGACGGGUGAGUAAUGUCUGGGAAACUGCCUGAUGGAGGGGGAUAACUACUGGAAACGGUCGCUAAUACCGCAUACCAUCGGAUGUGCCCAGGUGGGAUUAGCUAGUAGGGGGGGUAAAGGCGCACCUAGGCGACGAUCCCUAGCUGGUCUGAGAGGAUGACGAGCAACACGGGGACUGAGAAACGGUGCAGACACCGACGGGAGGCAGGAGUGGGAAAUAUUGCACAAUGGGCGAAAGCCUGAGGCAGCCAUGCCGCGUGUAUGAAGAAGGCCUUCGGGUUGUAAAGUACUUUCAGCGGGGAGGCGUUACCCGCAGAAGAAGCACCGGCUAACUCCGUGCCAGCAGCCGCGGUAAUAC
rnacentral:rRNA from 1 species